CCUACGGGUGGCAGCAGUGGGGAAUAUUGGGCAAUGGGCGCAAGCCUGACCCAGCAAUGCCGCGUGAAGGAAGAAGGCCCUCGGGUUGUAAACUUCUUUUAUCAGGGACGAAGGCUGUGACGGUACCUGAUGAAUAAGCUCCGGCUAACUACGUGCCAGCAGCCGCGGUAAUACGUAGGGAGCAAGCGUGCUCCGGAUUUACUGGGUGUAAAGGGCGCGUAGGCGGGGUGGCAAGUCAGUGGUGAAAUCCGGGGGCUCAACCGCUGAACUGCAUUUGAAACUGGCGUGAUUGCGUACUGGAGAGGUUGACGGAAUUCCUAGUGUAGCGGUGAAAUGCGUAGAUAUUAGGAGGAACACCAGUGGCGAAGGCGGUCAACUGGACAGCAACUGACGCUGAGGCGCGAAAGCGUGGGGAGCAAACAGGAUUAGAUACCCGGGUAGUC
rnacentral:rRNA from 1 species